GUUCGGCUCUGGGAAACAAGGAACCCUCUCUGCUUGGUGGACAUCACCCUGCACACCACCCCUGCCGCCCACCACUCGCGUCCUCUCCAGUUCCUGCCUCCCCUCUCUGCCUGCUGCAGAUUUGGCUGCUUCUUUAUCCUAUGACCAGUUUUCAUCGGCUCUGAGGAUUAGCAGGGACCAGAGCCCAAGCCCCGGGAGUGCUCAGGCCCUCAGAUUAAGAACUGAUUCGAAAGACUUCAGUACACUGAAGUACCAUGCACACUGAUAUUUCAACUGGUUAUCAGCUCUCAAAACAUUAACCUAAAAUGAAAAAUGUAAACUUGCCAAAUUUGGUUUUUGUUUUCAUCUUAUGCCAGUAAACUCAUAAGAAGGAACUUCUAGAAAAAAGUGAAAUACUCUAGGC
rnacentral:lncRNA from 1 species